UUUUUUAUUUGAUUAGUUUGAAUGGUAUGGAUCCGAUAAAAGAGAAGCCGAACCCUGACAUUCAAACCCAGAUCUUGGUGUACUCGUUCGAUUUGGAAAAGAGACGAAGAUGCUGAGAGUUAUGACAGAAGAACUUUAACAAAUCCAUAAGUGGUUAUAGCCUUAUAGGUCAGGAGAAACACCUAAGAGAUAAGGAACAUAACGGAACAGCUGAGAAGUGAUCAAACGAAGAAUACAUGGGAAUUACCAGAUGUUGUCAUCAAGGCAUGAACUACAACCAAUCUGAAAAAGAUAAGUGUUGUCCUGAAUAUAGUCUAUACUGUUUUAUACCCAUUCAUGGUUUAAUUGAAAACAAAUUUAAAGAAUAUAUAAUAAUCAUACUAUUUUAAAAGCAGAAUUCAAUGUUUUUUAAACAGUUAAUAUACGCAAGGAGAAACAACAAAGGAGAUAUGGAAAAAACCGUGCUGAAAUAAAGCAUGCCUAUGAAACAGUUUAUUACAUAAAUCAGUGGAACUUUGCAGAUUCUAAUAAACGUUGAAAGAUCAGUGUGCAUGGAAUAUCAUCAUCAAUUUACUGCAGAAUUGAUACAUAUACUAUUUAAUAAACGAAAACCAGUGUUUUCUAGCAACUGAAGUUUGUUCUAAAGCAUAUGUAACUAUCAUCUGUAAAUUUUUUAUAUGAAUGUGUCAUUCAGAAAAAAGAAAA